AUACAUUCUUUCUUGUAAUUGAUUCUUUCCACUCCCGAACGCUCAAAAACCUACACCUCUCAACAUCUUAAAAAAAAUAGGCAGAAUGAAAAAAAUAAGAAUAAACUCGUUAAUCAAAUAUAGAUUUUCUCAUUCAUUACAUGAAAAAUAUUUACAUUAGGUAGAUCCGAUAAAAUAAAUUACAUAUGAUAAAAAAAUAUAUAACCUAAUUAUUAUUAAUAUUAUUAUUAUUGUCAAUCGGAAAUCCAUUGGGCAGCAGACCCCUCAGCCUUCGAAUCCCAUGAAGCACCCUUGCUCUCGUGGCGCUCAACUCUUACUCGAGUUCAUGAACCAGCCUUUCAAGUUCCUACACGGUGUCAAGCAGAAUCUCGAUGUACCAAAUCAGAUCAGUUAUAUCUAGAAUAUGCAUGAACAAAUAACGUAAAACACUAAACCACAUAUACUAUCAACUGAUAGUUUAAUAAAAAAAAAUGUGAAACUUAACUAGAAAAUAGAUGCAUGUUAAUAAUUUUCAUAUUAGAACAAGAAAAUAAAACAUCCUCAACGGACGAACAAGAAAUUUAUUUUUAAAAGAGAAGUGAUUUAAUAUAUAAUAACGAUUUUAUGCAAGAUAAGAUGCAAGAGAUAGAGCUGAGG
rnacentral:lncRNA from 1 species